rnacentral:lncRNA from 1 species
UUUAAUUAAGCAUAAGACUUUUUUCCUAACUAGAAUUUAGUUAGCAUAAGACUUUUUCCUUCUAGAAUUUAAUUAGGAAGACUUUUUCUUACUGCAAAAUUUUCUCACCUUAAUUAGUAUUUACGUAAAUAAGUUUUCAAUAGAAUUUUUCUUACUUGUCAUUUUCUUACAAGACUUUCUUUUCAUACUUGUCAUUUUUUCACAUGACUUUCUUCACAAGAAGGCAUGAGAUUUUCAUGAAGGAUGCGUGGUCGAUUGCCUAGGCAUACCGAGCCUUUCAAGGUCAAAUGAAUUAGUGUGACCAAGGGUGGAGUUGGGUGCACCCGAAAAAAAAAAGGAAAAAAUAAACUAAAUUUUACCUUAAAAUGAAAUUGGACUUGGGGGACAAACCUGAGCAUGACCCACGCAUAAAUCCUGCACUGGAGGUUGAUCGUAGGGACGAAAACGUUGUAGAUCAGCUAAAAGUCGCAUAGCCAACAUAGGGACCAAACAAAAAGGAGUAGCAGAUGAGUAUCUCAGCACUCUUUCUUCUUAAAAUAUAUUUUGUUCGAUUUGCUAUUUGAGAAGCAAAAAAUUUCCCAGCUCAUGACUUAUGAAUGCGGAAGUGACCUGGUAGACCUUUUGGAUAAAUACACAUCUUAGAUGAAGCUCCAAGGAAAAAUGAUGCCAUAGUGUGUAAAAUAUUCCCAUUAACAUUUGAGGAUAGAUCACAAAGAUGGUUAAAAUGUUAUCACAACGACCUAUCACAAGUUUGAAUGACCUGGCCAACAAUCGAAAAUCAAAAUAAUUUUUUUUGCAAUCAAUGUCACUUUGACUACAUUCUUUUCAAAGGAAUUUCUGUUUAUUUUAUACCCAAAAUCUGCAAAUAAUCAACAUAAUUCAUACAUUUUACCAUGCAUGUAAGUAACUUCGAAAUUUUGAUUUAAGUAGUUCAAGUUUUGCUUGAUUGUUCAUUAAUAGACUAUAAAUUCCAUAAUUAUUUAGUAAAUGAAAUCAGCAAUUAGCUAAUUUCACAAAUUUUGGAGCAUGUUUAGAUAUAUUUGAACCAUUGCCAAAUUUUUUAUUUAGCGUACUUGCAUAUAAUCUUCAUGAUUUUUUGGCUCUGUUUUGGAGAUUUGAUGAUAAUUUUAACAAUUAAAAUAUCGUGCGACAUUCUACUAAUUAAAAGAUCAAAAAUGUUAUCACAAAUUUGACCAUUACAUGUUAUGAUGAAAAAGUAAUCAUAAAAAUGAAUACAAGGAGUUCGUGAAAAUAAAAAUAAAAAUAUAAAUUAAGAUUCUACAUUAGAAAGUGACAUGUUGUGACAAUUUUAUGAAUUUGUCAUUUUUUUAAUGAGAUGUAUGUCACUUUUAUUUAUUUUUGUGAAGGAUGUUGAGAGAAAUUAAAUGUGGGAUAAGAAAGUUGAUGGAGCAGGUUUGAAAUUAAAGGUACAUGUAAUGUCUUAAAUAAUAUGUUCCCUAACAUCCUUUUUAGUAGAUAAAUUUGAUUUCUCUUAUUAUUUGUCCCGUUUUUGGUAUUUAUCACUUUUUUGAGUUUUAGUAGAUUGACUUCUUUUAUUCUUUGUCACUUUUAGACUUUUGAAUAUGUUUCUUAACAAAGUUGAUAUAUGCUACAUUUUUUUAGCUCUUGUCAUUUUUUUGAAUUUAUGAAAUAAUACUAGAAAAUAUAUCUAAUUUAAUUCACGUACCUUUUUCAAGUUUCUAUCACUUUUUAUUUAUUAUUUUAUGAAGGAUAUUGAGAGAAGUCAAAUUUUUAGAGUAGAAUGUGGUUCGUGCUGAUUCGAAGACGAGGGUACGUGUACCGUUUUUUUUUAUUCAUAUGAUGACUUUUUGCCCCCAUUUGAUCCCUAUUUUUCCAAAUUAAAAUGGGUCGAAUAGUAUUUUUUUUUUUUUUUUUAAGAAUGAGU